rnacentral:rRNA from 1 species
ACGUGGGUAUGCAAAACAGGAUUAGAUAACAUGGUAGUUCACGCCGUAAAACGAUGUGGACUAGCCGUUGGGUCCCUAGAGGACUUUAGUGGCGCAGUUAACGCGAUAAGUUGACCUCCUGGGGAGUACGGCCGCAAGGUUAAAACUCAAAUGAAUUGACGGGGGCCCGCACAAGCGGUGGAGCAUGUGGUUUAAUUCGAUGCAACGCGAAGAACCUUACCUACCCUUGACAUCCUGCGAACCCGGAAGAGAUUCCGGGGUGCCUUCGGGAGCGCAGAGACAGGUGCUGCAUGGCUGUCGUCAGCUCGUGUUGUGAAAUGUUGGGUUAAGUCCCGUAACGAGCGCAACCCUUGUCCCUAUUUGCCAGCGAUUCGGUCGGGAACUCUAGGGAGACUGCCGGUGACAAACCGGAGGAAGGUGGGGACGACGUCAAGUCAUCAUGGCCCUUACGGGUAGGGCUACACACGUGCUACAAUGGCCGGUACAAAGGGUUGCGAAGCCGCGAGGUGAAGCCAAUCCCAGAAAGCCGGCCUCAGUCCGGAUUGGAGUCUGCAACUCGACUCCAUGAAGUCGGAAUCGCUAGUAAUCGUGCAUCAGAAUGGCACGGUGAAUACGUUCCCGGGCCUUGUACACACCGCCCGUCACACCAUGGGAGUGGACUGCACCAGAAGUGGUUAGCCUAACUUCGGAGGGCGAUCACCACGGUUGUAAGUCUU